AUCUACGGACAUGUUGCCUUGAACAAGCCGGAUCCCAUCUAAUUUCGGAAGCUAAGCAGGGUCGGGCCUGGUCAGUACUGGGAUGGGAAACCACCUAAGAAGACCAGGUGCUGUAGGCA
rnacentral:rRNA from 1 species